rnacentral:rRNA from 1 species
UACGAAGGGGGCUAGCGUUGCUCGGAAUUACUGGGCGUAAAGGGCGCGUAGGCGGUUAUUUAAGUUAGAGGUGAAAGCCCAGGGCUCAACCCUGGAAUAGCCUUUAAUACUGGAUAUCUUGAGUUCGGGAGAGGUGAGUGGAACUCCGAGUGUAGAGGUGAAAUUCGUAGAUAUUCGGAAGAACACCAGUGGCGAAGGCGACUCACUGGCCCGAUACUGACGCUGAGGCGCGAAAGCGUGGGGAGCAAACAGG